AUUGAACGCUGGCGGCAUGCUUUACACACGCAAGUCGAACGGUAACAGGCCUUCGGGUGCUGACGAGUGGCGAACGGGUGAGUAAUGCAUCGGAACGUACCCAGAGGUGGGGGAUAACGCAGCGAAAGCUGUGCUAAUACCGCAUGUGAUCUGAGGAUGAAAGCGGGGGACCGAGCAGCAAUGUUUGGCCUCGCGCCUUUGGAGCGGCCGAUGUCGGAUUAGCUAGUUGGUGGGGUAAAGGCCUACCAAGGCGACGAUCCGUAGCUGGUCUGAGAGGACGACCAGCCACACUGGGACUGAGACACGGCCCAGACUCCUACGGGAGGCAGCAGUGGGGAAUUUUGGACAAUGGGCGCGAGCCUGAUCCAGCAAUGCCGCGUGCGGGAAGAAGGCCUUCGGGUUGUAAACCGCUUUUGGCAGGAACGAAACGGUGUCCGCUAAUACCGGGCGCUAAUGACGGUACCUGCAGAAUAAGCACCGGCUAACUACGUG
rnacentral:rRNA from 1 species